rnacentral:rRNA from 1 species
AUUGAACGCUGGCGGCAUGCCUUACACAUGCAAGUCGAACGGCAGCGGGCCUUCGGGUGCCGGCGAGUGGCGAACGGGUGAGUAAUGCAUCGGAACGUGCCAUUGAGUGGGGGGAUAACGUAGCGAAAGUUACGCUAAUACCGCAUAUUCUGUGAGCAGGAAAGCAGGGGACCGCAAGGCCUUGCGCUCUUUGAGCGGCCGAUGUCAGAUUAGCUAGUUGGUGAGGUAAAGGCUUACCAAGGCGACGAUCUGUAGCGGGUCUGAGAGGAUGAUCCGCCACACUGGAACUGAGACACGGUCCAGACUCCUACGGGAGGCAGCAGUGGGGAAUUUUGGACAAUGGGCGCAAGCCUGAUCCAGCCAUGCCGCGUGAGUGAAGAAGGCCUUCGG